UACAAAGUGAAAAGAAUGGGAGACAAAGGAAAGCUCCACUGCAUGAAGAGAGAAAUGUCUGCCAGAAGGCUUUGGUGGAGAGAAAUGGGAAUGUGGGUGUGGAAAGGAGAGUUCAGCAAGAGAAGGCAAAUCUACUUGGAACUAUUUUGGAUUCAGCGUGGGCAUGAUUCUUUGUUCACUCUGCUCCAUUCCUCACGGUUUCCCUAUUGAUGGGAGAUUACUAAUGAAUGAAGAUAAGAACUAAAUGAAAGUGGCUUUUAAAAAAAUUAAAUGACUCUGUCUCCACUGUAUUAUAUAUUUUCAACAAAUUUGUUAGUUAUUUUAUAUCUCUGCUAGACAUUUUGGGAUGUGAGCCUUGCAAUACCUACAUGAGUUCUUC
rnacentral:lncRNA from 1 species